UUCCGGCGGCUCCGCGGUACUUCGCGCGGCUCACCUCCGGGGCCGCCCGCGAAUACUUCAGCCAUUAGCAGUGUUCUGUGCCACACAGCAUAAGCAGUGAAUGUGCAAAAUCCCCUUCGCAGGAAAACGUCCUAAAGCCCUCUCCCUUGGGGUCCUGCCUGCGAGAUCUAGGUCAGCACCACCCCACAUCCUGGCUCCUUCCUCGGAGAGGAUGUCACUGCGGGGACUGUCCACCCAGCAGAAGAACCUCCCUGACCACUCCGAAGUCUUGCUUGAGCUGCAGCGCCCCCUGCAGGCUAGAUGUCCAGCACCACAAAGAAAGAAAAAUUACCAGGACACAAUCGAAGUCUCCAGUAUCGACCCCUUGGCAUGUGGAGCUUGAAGCCUUGUGUGGCUUGUUUAUGGCAUUCUUGGACAAACAGACCCAGUGACUCUUUGGGCAGGAGCUGUAUGGGGAGGAAGAAAUUAAGAAGGGCUAGUCUAUUAGACUGGGAAUGGUGUUUCUCUCUCUGAGGUCUCAGUGUGGGCAUCUGUAAAACCCUGAUGCCUCACUGUGGGAGCAUGGGCAUUUUCUAAGGAGGUCUGGACCUAAACCAUGCACAGUACCUAGGAUUAGAGGUUUCCUUAGUAGUCAAAGGCACAUGACAAGUCAGGCGUGUUGGGCAUAUGGCUAGACUCCCAGCAUUUGGAAAGUAGAAUCAGAGUAUUAGAAGUCCAAUGGCCAGGGGGCUGGAGAGAUGGCUCAGUGACUGACUGAAUGCUCCUCUAGAGUCUUGAGUUCAAUUCCUAGAAACCACAUGGCCACAUGGUGGAUCAUAACCAUCUGUAAUGAGAUCUGAUGCCCUCUUCUGAUGUAUCUGAAGACUGCUACAGUGUACUCACAUACAUAAAUCUUUUUUU
rnacentral:lncRNA from 1 species